rnacentral:rRNA from 1 species
AGCAGCCGCGGUAAUUCCAGCUCCAAUAGCGUAUAUUAAAGUUGUUGCAGUUAAAAAGCUCGUAGUUGAAUUUCGGGAUCAAUAUGUCUGUCGUGCCUUCGGUACGUACGGGUAUAAUUGGUUUCUACCUUCUGAUGAACCUUGAUGCCAUUAAUUUGGUGUCUUGGGGACUCAGGACUGUUACCUUGAAAAAAUUAGAGUGUUUAAAGCAGGCAUACGCUUGAAUACAUUAGCAUGGAAUAAUGAAAUAGGACGUUCGAUUCUAUUUUGUUGGUUUCUAGGAUCGACGUAAUGAUUAAUAGGGAUAGUUGGGGGCAUUAGUAUUCAAUUGUCAGAGGUGAAAUUCUUGGAUUUAUUGAAGACUAACUACUGCGAAAGCAUUUGCCAAGGAUGUUUUCAUUAAUCAAGAACGAAAGUUAGGGGAUCGAAGACGAUCAGAUACCGUCGUAGUCUUAACCAUAAACUAUGCCGACUAGGGAUCGGAUGAUGUUAAUUUUUAAUGACUCAUUCGGCGUCC